GCUCAGUAAGCACUUUCACUCGUGAUUUAGGGCGAUUUAGAGUUGGACUUUGAGGAUGAUGAAGUUGAAGAAAAGAUAGAUUAAGGCAUUAUUUCAGCACUUGGAGGAGUCAUUUGGAGUUUCUGUAGUAGGAAUAGCCGUGCAAAGUGAACUACGAAGUUGAAGAUCAAGGUAAAAUAAUUCAUCUUAGUAUCAAACAAGGAGGAGAAGACGUGAUUGAAGAA